CCAGUUCUCCUGCAGACGUUCUUCUUUGUUUUCAUUAGGGAAGAUCUCAAUUAAGCUAAUUACAGUUACAAAAAAAAAAUUACCACAGAAGAAAGGAGGGGAAAAAAAGAGAGUUCAGUUAAAAGCAUAUAUAUUCAGAAUGAUGUUAUGAACUCAGCUCACCCCUCUAAAAUUAUCCUUUAACUGUUACACGCUAAUUACCCACCUUUUUAUUGUUUUAGACAGGAAGAGAUUUCUUCUUUUUGGAAGGGAAUAGAUAUCCAGAAAAUGUUGCCAUGUACUUCACAGGGGACCAGAAGAACCCACCUUUUUGAUAAAAGCACGAGGAAACUGGGAUGGUUCUGCAGAGCUGAGAGCUUUGCCCUAAAAAACAUGGGAAAAUGAGCCUUUCCUUUGUGACGAUUCCUCCCACCAUUUUUUUUUUUUUUUUAAAUAGAGUAAUUUGUACCGGAUCCCUGGGACCUGCCUGGUGUCAGCCUCUGUGCAGCUCCACCUGGAGGGUCUGAUGUGGGAACUGAGGCUGGCCUCAAAUAAUUGACUGGUACACAGAGAUGUGUACCAGUCCACUGGGGAGGUGCCAGGCAGGGGUGAUCCCUGCCUGGGAGCUCAGGACACUCUCCGCCCCGCUCCGAUGUGAGGUGGCCUCUCUUUAACCUCCCUCCUCCAAGCGGGGAAUUCCAGUGACUCGGCCCUGGAAGAGAGUGGCUCCCAGGAGUGGGAUGUUUCUGGCUGCUGCUUCUAUGUGAGAUUUUGUCAGUGUCUGCCUCCCUCUCCACAGCCUGAAGGAUCCUGGCCU
rnacentral:lncRNA from 1 species